rnacentral:rRNA from 1 species
UGCGCAGGCGGAAUGAUAAGUCAGUGGUGAAAUCUCCCGGCUCAACCGGGAAACUGCCAUUGAAACUGUCGUUCUUGAGUACAGUUGAAGUGGGCGGAAUGUGUCAUGUAGCGGUGAAAUGCAUAGAUAUGACACAGAACACCGAUAGCGAAGGCAGCUCACUAAACUGUAACUGACGCUCAGGCACGAAAGCGUGGGGAGCAAACAGGAUUAGAUACCCUGGUAGUCC